rnacentral:rRNA from 1 species
UGCAAGUCGAGCGAACAGAUAAGGAGCUUGCUCCUUUGACGUUAGCGGCGGACGGGUGAGUAACACGUGGAUAACCUACCUAUAAGACUGGGAUAACUUCGGGAAACCGGAGCUAAUACCGGAUAACAUAUUGAACCGCAUGGUUCAAUAGUGAAAGGCGGCUUUGCUGUCACUUAUAGAUGGAUCCGCGCCGUAUUAGCUAGUUGGUAAGGUAACGGCUUACCAAGGCAACGAUACGUAGCCGACCUGAGAGGGUGAUCGGCCACACUGGAACUGAGACACGGUCCAGACUCCUACGGGAGGCAGCAGUAGGGAAUCUUCCGCAAUGGGCGAAAGCCUGACGGAGCAACGCCGCGUGAGUGAUGAAGGUCUUCGGAUCGUAAAACUCUGUUAUCAGGGAAGAACAAAUGUGUAAGUAACUGUGCACAUCUUGACGGUACCUGAUCAGAAAGCCACGGCUAACUACGUGCCAGCAGCCGCGGUAAUACGUAGGUGGCAAGCGUUAUCCGGAAUUAUUGGGCGUAAAGCGCGCGUAGGCGGUUUUUUAAGUCUGAUGUGAAAGCCCACGGCUCAACCGUGGAGGGUCAUUGGAAACUGGAAAACUUGAGUGCAGAAGAGGAAAGUGGAAUUCCAUGUGUAGCGGUGAAAUGCGCAGAGAUAUGGAGGAACACCAGUGGCGAAGGCGACUUUCUGGUCUGUAACUGACGCUGAUGUGCGAAAGCGUGGGGAUCAAACAGGAUUAGAUACCCUGGUAGUCCACGCCGUAAACGAUGAGUGCUAAGUGUUAGGGGGUUUCCGCCCCUUAGUGCUGCAGCUAACGCAUUAAGCACUCCGCCUGGGGAGUACGACCGCAAGGUUGAAACUCAAAGGAAUUGACGGGGACCCGCACAAGCGGUGGAGCAUGUGGUUUAAUUCGAAGCAACGCGAAGAACCUUACCAAAUCUUGACAUCCUUUGACCGCUCUAGAGAUAGAGUCUUCCCCUUCGGGGGACAAAGUGACAGGUGGUGCAUGGUUGUCGUCAGCUCGUGUCGUGAGAUGUUGGGUUAAGUCCCGCAACGAGCGCAACCCUUAAGCUUAGUUGCCAUCAUUAAGUUGGGCACUCUAAGUUGACUGCCGGUGACAAACCGGAGGAAGGUGGGGAUGACGUCAAAUCAUCAUGCCCCUUAUGAUUUGGGCUACACACGUGCUACAAUGGACAAUACAAAGGGCAGCUAA